rnacentral:lncRNA from 1 species
GUGCUCCCCCUGUUCCUUCCUCCCUCCAUCCCCAGCCCCUGGCAACCAUGGAUCUUCUUCCUGCCUCCAUCAUUAUGCCCUUUCCGGAACAUCGCGUGGCUGUCGUCACACGGUCUCUAGGCUUUUCGGACUAGCCGAGGCUCAGGAUGUUUCUUCUCAGCUUAAGAGUUUUCAUCAUGAACGGAUGUGCCUUCUUUGGCUUUUGAACAUGGACGUGAGCCACUUUACCCCCGCAGGGUACGGAGGGUAGAAGCUAGAACCCGAGGGAGGCGGUGGGAGUCAGCAUGUGGUCGUGUGGCCUGCAGGUGUCUUUAUCGCUGUCGGCGCCUUGAUUUGGUUUUCUGUCACAUUUAGCAAGAAACCUCCCCCGUGACACACCGCCUGCUCCAGCAGUGUUCCUGGUCCAUCCUCCGAAUGUGCCGUGGCCUCUGUGACUCCGCAGCGCCUUGUAGCUCAGUUGCUGCCGUUUUCUUGGCUGCCCAUCUGACCGUCUGUGUGUCCUGUUGCCCCUGCCAGCUCCUGUGGGCAGAGGCCUUGCCACCUCUGUGUCUGCCUCUCUUGCAGCACUUGGCACUGUGCUCACAAAGGGCAGAUAUUUGGAAGUUCCCGUCAUGGCUCAGCGCCUCUGCCGCGGGGCCAUCUUCCUGGGCUCCACCCGGUAACCGGAAAGAGUCGAUGUGUCUCUGAAUCCCAGCAGCGAUGCUUCCCUCCCUGACCUGGAAGACACGGGGAAGGCUGGUCUCCCCACUUGCAGCAGAUGGAGCUGUUUCUCCCAAGGGGGUUGAGGCUCCCCAAGCGCCCGCCCUCGUCCCUGUGAGCUUCCAGCUCCGGGUCUUCAGGGGGCACUUGAGAUGCUUUCAUCUGAGAGGAGCAGCCGAUUCCAGUCCUGGAGGUUGAACGUGAAUGGAAAACAGCGAGUCAAGUGGAAGUCAAGGUGAGGGCAGGCGAGAGACCCUGGCAGGCAGAGGGCAUGGGCCCUGAGAACAGUGACUGUGGGAAGGGUGUGUGAGAGUCCAGCCAGGCGGUAGCCUCCUGGGAGGCAGGGCUUGAUCCUCAAACGCACCAGGAAAGCAGAAUACAUGUUGGGGUCCGCAGGGCUCCUUGAAUUGAGAGCUGAGCUGAGUGAUGAUGGGCUAAUUGAGUUACCCGUGUUGUGCCUGCCACACACCAC